rnacentral:rRNA from 1 species
GAUGAACGCUGGCGGCGUGCUUAACACAUGCAAGUCGAGCGAUGAAGUUUCCUUCGGGAAACGGAUUAGCGGCGGACGGGUGAGUAACACGUGGGUAACCUGCCUCAUAGAGUGGAAUAGCCUUCCGAAAGGAAGAUUAAUACCGCAUAACGUUGAAAGUAUGGCAUCGAUCAUUUAACCAAAGGAGCAAUCCGCUAUGAGAUGGACCCGCGGCGCAUUAGCUAGUUGGUGGGGUAACGGCCUACCAAGGCGACGAUGCGUAGCCGACCUGAGAGGGUGAUCGGCCACAUUGGGACUGAGACACGGCCCAG